ACGUAGGGAGCAAGCGUUAUCCGGAUUUAUUGGGUGUAAAGGGUGCGUAGACGGGAAGACAAGUUGGUUGUGAAAGCCCUCGGCUCAACUGAGGAACUGCAACCAAAACUAUCAUUCUUGAGUGCGGGAGAGGAAAGUGGAAUUCCUAGUGUAGCGGUGAAAUGCGUAGAUAUUAGGAGGAACACCAGUGGCGAAGGCGACUUUCUGGACCGUAACUGACGUUGAGGCACGAAAGUGUGGGGAGCAAACAG
rnacentral:rRNA from 1 species